CCGACCUGGGUCCAUAGUUACUCAUCCUGAUGCUCAGGACCAUGGUAGAACCAGAAGUAUCAAUCCUGGCUAGAGGAAGUGUUAUCCUGGUGUGAUGGAAUCAGACAUCGGCAGAAUACUGGACUGGAAUUCCACAUAGCUUUUGAAUGAAAAUGGCCCAUAUUUGGAUGACUGAAAAGGAGCAAAGACGACCAGUGGCCAUUGGAAAGGUGACAGACGGAGACUUUCAUUUGGAAGCAGGGAAGAAGUAG